CCUGGUCCGUGAUGACUCUUUUCUUUGGAGACCGAGGGAUGAAUCCUGCGGAUAUGGGGCUGAGGCCAGGC
rfam:Leptosomus discolor contig7091, whole genome shotgun sequence.